CAACCUCUGGCGAGAACCGUGAAUGUUG
rfam:Flavobacterium succinicans strain DD5b FLB_contig000006, whole genome shotgun sequence.